rnacentral:rRNA from 1 species
CCUACGGGUGGCAGCAGUGAGGAAUAUUGGUCAAUGGACGAGAGUCUGAACCAGCAAAGUAGCGUGAAGGAUGACUGCCCUAUGGGUUGUAAACUUCUUUUAUAUGGGAAUAAAAUGUUCCACGUGUGGGAUUUUGUAUGUACCAUAUGAAUAAGGAUCGGCUAACUCCGUGCCAGCAGCCGCGGUAAUACGGAGGAUCCGAGCGUUAUCCGGAUUUAUUGGGUUUAAAGGGAGCGUAGGUGGGUUGUUAAGUCAGUUGUGAAAGUUUGCGGCUCAACCGUAAAAUUGCAGUUGAGACUGGCAGUCUUGAGUACAGUAGAGGUGGGCGGAAUUCGUGGUGUAGCGGUGAAAUGCUUAGAUAUCACGAAGAACUCCGAUUGCGAAGGCAGUUCACUAGACUGCAACUGACACUGAGGCUCGAAAGUGUGGGUAUCAAACAGGAUUAGAUACCCUUGUAGUC